rnacentral:rRNA from 1 species
GACAAGGUUCCGGUAGUGACCUGCGGAGGAUCAUUAUCGUACAAUGGGGGUACCCGGGUUGUCGCUGACUUUUUUGUCGUGCACGCCCGGAGUGCUCUCACAUACAAAUAUAUCCAUCUCCACCCCUUUGUGCAUCACCGCGUGGGUGUCCCCCCUUUCUUSGGAGGGGGGUGCUCACGUUUUUAACAUCAAACACCCUAGUGUAGAAUGUUCUUUGGCGCGAUCACGCGCGAAUCAAUACAACUUUCAACAACGGAUCUCUUGGCUCUCGCAUCGAUGAAGAACGCAGCGAAAUGCGAUACGUAAUGUGAAUUGCAGAAUUCAGUGAAUCAUCGAAUCUUUGAACGCACCUUGCGCCCCUUGGCAUUCCGAGGGGCACACCCGUUUGAGUGUCGUGAACAUCCUCAACCUGCUUCGUUCUAUCGAACCAAGUAGGCUUGGAAUUUGGAGGUUUUUCUGCUGGCUUCCUCUGUGAAGCCAGCUCCUCUUAAAUCUAUCAGUGGGAUCCGCUUUGCUAGAUCCUCGACGUUGAUAAGAUGUUUCUACGUCUUGGGUUUCGCUCGGGAAAGGACCUGCUUCUAACCGUCCCCCCCAUCGGGGACAAUGUUCGAGAGCCGAUCGCCCUUCACGGGGUGGGAAGCUUUUCGACCCAUGAAACCUUGACCUCAAAUCGGGUGAGACUACCCGCUGAACUUAAGCAUAUCAAUAAGCGGAGGAAAAGAAACUAACAAGGAUUCCCCUAGUAACUGCGAGUGAAGCGGGAAAAGCUCAAAUUUAAAAUCUGGUGGUCUUUUGCCCAUCCGAGUUGUAAUUAGAGAAGCGUCUUCCG